rnacentral:rRNA from 1 species
UUAAGCGACUAAGCGUACACGGUGGAUGCCCUGGCAGUCAGAGGCGAUGAAGGACGUGCUAAUCUGCGAUAAGCGUCGGUAAGGUGAUAUGAACCGUUAUAACCGGCGAUUUCCGAAUGGGGAAACCCAGUGUGUUUCGACACACUAUCAUUAACUGAAUCCAUAGGUUAAUGAGGCGAACCGGGGGAACUGAAACAUCUAAGUACCCCGAGGAAAAGAAAUCAACCGAGAUUCCCCCAGUAGCGGCGAGCGAACGGGGAGCAGCCCAGAGCCUGAAUCAGUGUGUGUGUUAGUGGAAGCGUCUGGAAAGGCGCGCGAUACAGGGUGACAGCCCCGUACACAAAAAUGCACAUGCUGUGAGCUCGAUGAGUAGGGCGGGACACGUGGUAUCCUGUCUGAAUAUGGGGGGACCAUCCUCCAAGGCUAAAUACUCCUGACUGACCGAUAGUGAACCAGUACCGUGAGGGAAAGGCGAAAAGAACCCCGGCGAGGGGAGUGAAAAAGAACCUGAAACCGUGUACGUACAAGCAGUGGGAGCACGCUUAGGCGUGUGACUGCGUACCUUUUGUAUAAUGGGUCAGCGACUUAUAUUCUGUAGCAAGGUUAACCGAAUAGGGGAGCCGAAGGGAAACCGAGUCUUAACUGGGCGUUAAGUUGCAGGGUAUAGACCCGAAACCCGGUGAUCUAGCCAUGGGCAGGUUGAAGGUUGGGUAACACUAACUGGAGGACCGAACCGACUAAUGUUGAAAAAUUAGCGGAUGACUUGUGGCUGGGGGUGAAAGGCCAAUCAAACCGGGAGAUAGCUGGUUCUCCCCGAAAGCUAUUUAGGUAGCGCCUCGUGAAUUCAUCUCCGGGGGUAGAGCACUGUUUCGGCAAGGGGGUCAUCCCGACUUACCAACCCGAUGCAAACUGCGAAUACCGGAGAAUGUUAUCACGGGAGACACACGGCGGGUGCUAACGUCCGUCGUGAAGAGGGAAACAACCCAGACCGCCAGCUAAGGUCCCAAAGUCAUGGUUAAGUGGGAAACGAUGUGGGAAGGCCCAGACAGCCAGGAUGUUGGCUUAGAAGCAGCCAUCAUUUAAAGAAAGCGUAAUAGCUCACUGGUCGAGUCGGCCUGCGCGGAAGAUGUAACGGGGCUAAACCAUGCACCGAAGCUGCGGCAGCGACGCUUAUGCGUUGUUGGGUAGGGGAGCGUUCUGUAAGCCUGUGAAGGUGUGCUGUGAGGCAUGCUGGAGGUAUCAGAAGUGCGAAUGCUGACAUAAGUAACGAUAAAGCGGGUGAAAAGCCCGCUCGCCGGAAGACCAAGGGUUCCUGUCCAACGUUAAUCGGGGCAGGGUGAGUCGACCCCUAAGGCGAGGCCGAAAGGCGUAGUCGAUGGGAAACAGGUUAAUAUUCCUGUACUUGGUGUUACUGCGAAGGGGGGACGGAGAAGGCUAUGUUGACCGGGCGACGGUUGUCCCGGUUUAAGCGUGUAGGCUGGUUUUCCAGGCAAAUCCGGAAAAUCAAGGCUGAGGCGUGAUGACGAGGCACUACGGUGCUGAAGCAACAAAUGCCCUGCUUCCAGGAAAAGCCUCUAAGCAUCAGGUAACAUCAAAUCGUACCCCAAACCGACACAGGUGGUCAGGUAGAGAAUACCAAGGCGCUUGAGAGAACUCGGGUGAAGGAACUAGGCAAAAUGGUGCCGUAACUUCGGGAGAAGGCACGCUGAUAUGUAGGUGAAGUCCCUCGCGGAUGGAGCUGAAAUCAGUCGAAGAUACCAGCUGGCUGCAACUGUUUAUUAAAAACACAGCACUGUGCAAACACGAAAGUGGACGUAUACGGUGUGACGCCUGCCCGGUGCCGGAAGGUUAAUUGAUGGGGUUAGCGCAAGCGAAGCUCUUGAUCGAAGCCCCGGUAAACGGCGGCCGUAACUAUAACGGUCCUAAGGUAGCGAAAUUCCUUGUCGGGUAAGUUCCGACCUGCACGAAUGGCGUAAUGAUGGCCAGGCUGUCUCCACCCGAGACUCAGUGAAAUUGAACUCGCUGUGAAGAUGCAGUGUACCCGCGGCAAGACGGAAAGACCCCGUGAACCUUUACUAUAGCUUGACACUGAACAUUGAGCCUUGAUGUGUAGGAUAGGUGGGAGGCUUAGAAGUGUGGACGCCAGUCUGCAUGGAGCCGACCUUGAAAUACCACCCUUUAAUGUUUGAUGUUCUAACGUUGACCCGUAAUCCGGGUUGCGGACAGUGUCUGGUGGGUAGUUUGACUGGGGCGGUCUCCUCCUAAAGAGUAACGGAGGAGCACGAAGGUUGGCUAAUCCUGGUCGGACAUCAGGAGGUUAGUGCAAUGGCAUAAGCCAGCUUGACUGCGAGCGUGACGGCGCGAGCAGGUGCGAAAGCAGGUCAUAGUGAUCCGGUGGUUCUGAAUGGAAGGGCCAUCGCUCAACGGAUAAAAGGUACUCCGGGGAUAACAGGCUGAUACCGCCCAAGAGUUCAUAUCGACGGCGGUGUUUGGCACCUCGAUGUCGGCUCAUCACAUCCUGGGGCUGAAGUAGGUCCCAAGGGUAUGGCUGUUCGCCAUUUAAAGUGGUACGCGAGCUGGGUUUAGAACGUCGUGAGACAGUUCGGUCCCUAUCUGCCGUGGGCGCUGGAGAACUGAGGGGGGCUGCUCCUAGUACGAGAGGACCGGAGUGGACGCAUCACUGGUGUUCGGGUUGUCAUGCCAAUGGCACUGCCCGGUAGCUAAAUGCGGAAGAGAUAAGUGCUGAAAGCAUCUAAGCACGAAACUUGCCCCGAGAUGAGUUCUCCCUGACUCCUUGAGAGUCCUGAAGGAACGUUGAAGACGACGACGUUGAUAGGCCGGGUGUGUAAGCGCAGCGAUGCGUUGAGCUAACCGGUACUAAUGAACCGUGAGGCUUAACCUU